UCAUUCCCUGGGAUACCCCUGCAAACAACCCAUCCAGAGCAAAAGUAUUUCAUAUCAUGAAGGUUGAAAGCAAGAGUAUCUCAUAUCAUGCUUUCUCCUUGUCCUUUUCCUUGUCUUUGUUUUACGACAAGGAGAAAGAGAGCAAUCAAUCAGCAUUUGGUAUCAAUCUUCCGAUUUGGAGCCAACUGCCUGGAACCCCUUCCUGAUUGCUUACCUAGCCUUGCUCUCGAGUACUCAUCUUCAUCAUUUUAUGCUUUCUCUUCGUCUACCACAUCUGCCUGGGGGACGGUAAGGGAAGUGAAAAUGAUACCUCGAAGCAUGUGGAGACAAUUCAGCUAGGGACAAGGAGAAAGAGAGCAAGAGGUGGGCACUUGGAAAGAUUGAAGAAAGAAACAGACCAACACCUCUCCCUCGUGCCUGCCCGUUGUGCAGAAGAAACAAGCAGAGAAGAAUGCAGCUCGUACAAUCAACCCAGCACAAGGAGUCCGAGCUGAAGAACUAGAGAAGCUGCCACAUCUGCUUGGAGAACAAAUAAGGAACUGCAACAUCACCAAAGAGCAAAGCUUCGCC
rnacentral:lncRNA from 1 species